rnacentral:rRNA from 1 species
UACGUAGGGGGCUAGCGUUGUCCGGAAUCAUUGGGCGUAAAGCGCGCGUAGGCGGCCCGGUAAGUCCGCUGUGAAAGUCAAAGGCUCAACCUUUGAAUGUCAGCGGAUACUGCCAGGCUAGAGUCCGGAAGAGGCGAGUGGAACUCCUGGUGUAGCGGUGGAAUGCGCAGAUAUCAGGAGGAACACCAAUAGCGAAGGCAGCUCGCUGGGACGGUACUGACGCUAAGGCGCGAAAGCGUGGGGAGCGAACAGG